GGUGCUGAAGCAACAAAUGCCCUGCUUCCAGGAAAAGCCUCUAAGCCUCAGGUAACAUCAAAUCGUACCCCAAACCGACACAGGUGGUCAGGUAGAGAAUACCAAGGCGCUUGAGAGAACUCGGGUGAAGGAACUAGGCAAAAUGGUGCCGUAACUUCGGGAGAAGGCACGCUGACACGUAGGUGAAGUGGUUUACCCAUGGAGCUGAAGUCAGUCGAAGAUACCAGCUGGCUGCAACUGUUUAUUAAAAACACAGCACUGUGCAAACACGAAAGUGGACGUAUACGGUGUGACGCCUGCCCGGUGCCGGAAGGUUAAUUGAUGGGGUCAGCGCAAGCGAAGCUCCUGAUCGAAGCCCCGGUAAACGGCGGCCGUAACUAUAACGGUCCUAAGGUAGCGAAAUUCCUUGUCGGGUAAGUUCCGACCUGCACGAAUGGCGUAAUGAUGGCCAGGCUGUCUCCACCCGGGACUCAGUGAAAUUGAACUCGCUGUGAAGAUGCAGUGUACCCGCGGCAAGACGGAAAGACCCCGUGAACCUUUACUAUAGCUUGACACUGAACACUGGUCCUUGAUGUGCAGGAUAGGUGGGAGGCUUUGAAGUGUGGACGCCAGUCUGCAUGGAGCCGACCUUGAAAUACCACCCUUUAAUGGCUGGUGUUCUAACGUGGGCCCGUGAACCGGGUUGCGGACAGUGUCUGGUGGGUAGUUUGACUGGGGCGGUCUCCUCCUAAAGAGUAACGGAGGAGCACGAAGGUUGGCUAAUCCUGGUCGGACAUCAGGAGGUUAGUGCAAUGGCAUAAGCCAGCUUGACUGCGAGCGUGACGGCGCGAGCAGGUGCGAAAGCAGGUCAUAGUGAUCCGGUGGUUCUGAAUGGAAGGGCCAUCGCUCAACGGAUAAAAGGUACUCCGGGGAUAACAGGCUGAUACCGCCCAAGAGUUCAUAUCGACGGCGGUGUUUGGCACCUCGAUGUCGGCUCAUCACAUCCUGGGGCUGAAGUAGGUCCCAAGGGUAUGGCUGUUCGCCAUUUAAAGUGGUACGCGAGCUGGGUUUAGAACGUCGUGAGACAGUUCGGUCCCUAUCUGCCGUGGGCGCUGGAAGAUUGAGGGGGGCUGCUCCUAGUACGAGAGGACCGGAGUGGACGCAUCACUGGUGUUCGGGUUGUCAUGCCAAUGGCACUGCCCGGUAGCUACAUGCGGAAGAGAUAAGUGCUGAAAGCAUCUAAGCACGAAACUUGCCCCGAGAUGAAUCUUCCCUGAGCCUUUAAGGCUCCUGAAGGAACGUUGAAGACGACGACGUUGAUAGGCCGGGUGUGUAAGCGCAGCGAUGCGUUGAGCUAACCGGUACUAAUGAACCGUGAGGCUUAACCUUACAACGCCGAAG
rnacentral:rRNA from 1 species